rnacentral:rRNA from 1 species
UAUGAACGCUGGCGGCGUGCCUAAUACAUGCAAGUCGAGCGAACAGACGAGGAGCUUGCUCCUCUGACGUUAGCGGCGGACGGGUGAGUAACACGUGGAUAACCUACCUAUAAGACUGGGAUAACUUCGGGAAACCGGAGCUAAUACCGGAUAAUAUAUUGAACCGCAUGGUUCAAUAGUGAAAGACGGUUUUGCUGUCACUUAUAGAUGGAUCCGCGCCGCAUUAGCUAGUUGGUAAGGUAACGGCUUACCAAGGCAACGAUGCGUAGCCGACCUGAGAGGGUGAUCGGCCACACUGGAACUGAGACACGGUCCAGACUCCUACGGGAGGCAGCAGUAGGGAAUCUUCCGCAAUGGGCGAAAGCUUGACGGAGCAACGCCGCGUGAGUGAUGAAGGUCUUCGGAUCGUAAAACUCUGUUAUUAGGGAAGAACAAUUGUGUAAGUAACUAUGCACGUCUUGACGGUACCUAAUCAGAAAGCCACGGCUAACUACGUG